rnacentral:rRNA from 1 species
GAUAGCGGCCAUAGCUGUCGGGAAACACCUGGUCUCAUUCCGAACCCAGCAGUUAAGCUGACACACGUAGUAUGCUGUACUUGGGUACGCGAGUCCCUGGGAACCAUACCAAGCUGCUAUCA